GGCAGUUGACAGACAGUUGGAAAUAGAGAGACAGUUAGUGCAGUUGGUUCUUGUGUGAGGGGAGGCAGAAGAGAGACAGGAUAAAAUAAGACUAAGAAGGUAGAGUAACAACAUUUUGAAUGCAGUUAAAGUUUAUUUGUGUUUGCACUAAACUACACUCUUCUUUGUUAACUUAAGAACCUGACUGAGACUAAGUGAUUUACCGGGGAGGACCUGGUUGGUGGCAGCGGAUUAGUGGUGUUUGGGUUAAUAGGCUGUGAGCUCUGAACGCCACACUUAUUGAGAUGUUUUCCUUCACUUAUGACUACAUAAAAGUUUAUUAUGUUUUCGUUUUUAUGUAAAUUCUUUGGUGAUGCAGGCCACCUUGAGCAUGGCUUAAAAAUGGAAAGGCAGCAUACGAAUAAAUGAAGAUAAUGAUUAUCUCCAGGUAAGGCUAGGAGUCUGGAACCCUGGAGAACUGCUGCCAGUUAAGAGCAGACACCACUGAGCUCCAUUAUUAUUAUUAUUAUUAUUAUUAUUAUUAUUAUUAUUAUUAAUUUGUUCCUUUUUUCAAAAAAUGAAACUCAAAAGAACCUUCCAAAAUCUGAACACUAAAAACAUGGAUAAAAGCAGCCUAAAAUAUGCAAAUAGUAUAGAAUUUCUUUGGACUCUGGGUGAGGACCUAGAGGCCGAGACGCAGGGUGUCAGAAGGAAAAUGAUUGAAUAUUGAUUUUUAUAUAUAGAUUAGUAAUUUUGUAUUAAUGUAACAUUUUUAGAUGGUUGAGAGUAAAGCAAUGGCACUUGCAAUAAGUUAUCUGAACCACUGAGGUGGUAGAGAGGCAGCCUGUUCUUCCCUCACUGAUUCUUCCUUAGGUCACUCCCUGUAGAGUGUUAUUUUCCCAGGCUUUCUUUCAUUCUUCUUCAAUCAGUUAGUGUUUGAUCUUCCUUUCGAUAACCAUGAUGGACACCUGUAAUCUUGUACUUAGAAUGGCUUUGUUUGCAAGGAGUAUUAAAUCUUAUGUUUCUUUGUUCUUUCAACCAACAGCAUUACCCAAGUAUUUGUUUCUGCGUUCUGCAGCAAUAUAAUCCCAAACUCUAACAAAAAUACCUUAUUUCCCUCUACGUUGGAAUGGAAUUAUUCCAGUGACUAUAUAAGCUCACGGACAGGAUUGAAAAAUGUUUUUAAGAUGACUGGUGCUCAUUUUGAAGCCAGUUCCAAAGCUUUGGUCACCAGUCCUACAGAAGAGGUAGAUUUACAUAUAUGAAGACCAACAGAGGGUCAUGGGAGAUGCCUUAAAGACAAAAGCCAUCUUUGUGAGGAGGAUGCAGAGUCACAGAUGCAGGAACUGUUUACUUAAAGACUGCAUACGCA